UUGUUUACUUAAGGAGCAUAUAAUAUUAAAACUGGAAUGACACAGAGUUUAGCAUGACCCUUGCGCAGGCAUGACAUGCAGGUUCAUAAAGCAUGUCAUGAUUCU
rnacentral:snRNA from 1 species